CGUAUCACCCAAGACAACUUUACGGAGUUGACGAUUGACGGAGCGAAGCGACGUCAAAGCGUUCAUUAAAGUCGAGUUGGCUUAGGGAUACGUUCGUUGGGUAGGGGAGCGUUCUGUAAGCCUGUGAAGGUGUGUCGUGAGGCAUGCUGGAGGUAUCAGAAGUGCGAAUGCUGACAUAAGUAACGAUAAAGCGGGUGAAAAGCCCGCUCGCCGGAAGACCAAGGGUUCCUGUCCAACGUUAAUCGGGGCAGGGUGAGUCGACCCCUAAGGCGAGGCCGAAAGGCGUAGUCGAUGGGAAACGGGUUAAUAUUCCCGUACUUGGUGUUACUGCGAAGGGGGGACGGAGAAGGCUAUGUUGGCCGGGCGACGGUUGUCCCGGUUUAAGCGUGUAGGUGUGUGUUCCAGGUAAAUCCGGUUCACUUUAACACUGAGGCGUGACGACGAGGCACUACGGUGCUGAAGCAACAAAUGCCCUGCUUCCAGGAAAAGCCUCUAAGCAUCAGGUAACAUCAAAUCGUACCCCAAACCGACACAGGUGGUCAGGUAGAGAAUACCAAGGCGCUUGAGAGAACUCGGGUGAAGGAACUAGGCAAAAUGGUGCCGUAACUUCGGGAGAAGGCACGCUGACACGUAGGUGAAGUGAUUUACU
rnacentral:rRNA from 1 species